rnacentral:rRNA from 1 species
AUGAAUGUCUUGGCCUGGAACUGUCGAGGGUUGGGGUUGGACUCGAUAGUGGGCGAACUUCGUGACCUGAUUAGGUCCUACAAUCCAGCGGUGGUAUUCUUAUGUGAAACAAAAAAAAUAGCGAGGGCUAUGGAGAAACUUAAGUGGAGAUUGGGAUUUAGGAGUGGAGUGGCUGUUGACUGCAAUGGAAGGAGUGGAGGGCUAGCGUUAUGGUGGCGGGAAAGCAUACAA